GUUUAUUUCUCUUCAUCUAUGAUUCCACUUCAGCUGAUUUAGACAUAAUUUACAAUUCCAAACUUUAUGGUUAAAUUUAUCAUCAAAAUGGGACAGACCAUGAAAUUUCACACAUUAGGACAAUUUUGGGAAUUACAAAAUAUCCUAUUUUUUUAAUGGACUAUUCUGAUCUUAAAAUGUUUAAUUUCCUGCUCUAUACCCAAUUGCUGGAUUGGAGGGGGGAAAAACUGUAAAUUAACGUUAUUACAAUAACUGUCAAUGCACUCGGCAAUGAUGUACUUAU